AUUGAACGCUGGCGGCAGGCCUAACACAUGCAAGUCGAGCGGAUGAGUGGAGCUUGCUCCAUAAUUCAGCGGCGGACGGGUGGGUAAUGCCUAGGAAUCUGCCUGGUAGUGGGGGACAACGUUGCGAAAGGAAGGCUAAUACCGCAUACGUCCAACGGGAGCAAGGGGGGGAUCUUGCGACCUCAGGCUACAAGAUGACCCUGGGUCGGAUUAGCUAGUUGGUGAGGUAAAGGCUCACCAAGGCGACGAUCCGUAACUGGUCUGAGAGGAUGAUCAGUCACACUGGAACUGAGACACGGUCCAGACUCCUACGGGAGGCAGCAGUGGGGAAUAUUGGACAAUGGGCGAAAGCCUGAUCCAGCCAUGCCGCGUGUGUGAAGAAGGUCUUCGGAUUGUAAAGCACUUUAAGUUGGGAGGAAGGGCAGUAAGUUAAUACCUUGCUGUUUUGACGUUACCAACAGAAUAGGCACCGGCUAACUUCGUGCCAGCAGCCGCCGUAAAAC
rnacentral:rRNA from 1 species